rnacentral:rRNA from 1 species
CACGUAGGGCGCAAGCGUUGUCCGGAAUUAUUGGGCGUAAAGAGCUCGUAGGCGGUCUGUUGCGUCCGCUGUGAAAACUCGGGGCUUAACCCCGAGCCUGCAGUGGAUACGGGCAGACUAGAGGUAGGUAGGGGAGAAUGGAAUCCCCGGUGUAGCGGUGAAAUGCGCAGAUAUCGGGAGGAACACCGGUGGCGAAGGCGGUUCUCUGGGCCUUACCUGACGCUGAGGAGCGAAAGCGUGGGGAGCGAACAGG